ACAGUGUGAGACUCGUCUUAAUAAUAGAUAAAUAAAAGAGUAAUCUAGUGGCUGAGAGCACAUUGAAGAAAAGGCUGUGAAUGAACCAGGUAUUUCAACACUUCAUCUCUCUCUUGCUGGCCCUAAUUGUAACUCCAGCGAUUCCAGAGACUUCAGAGCAGAAAAACCAGGUAGAAUCCUACAGAUUCUUUCAUACAGCAUUUUAUCAUCUGUGGCUCCACAUUAAGUAUUAACUUUUUUAUAUAUUUGUGCUCAUCGUAUAUAAUUUUAAGAAAAUAAAUGGUAGGCUCUAAGUUUCAUUUAACUUUCUAUUUCCAGGACUUUGAAAGAUGAGACAAGUAAAUGUGUAUGCUGCGAAUUAAUACGUGAAUGAACAAAUGACUACAGGCAUUAUCCGAAUGAUAUGAUCUUCCUUCCCCAUCUUUCUGGGUGUCGGCCUUCAUUCACCAUGAAGUUGUAAACACAACAUUGAUUUUGGAGUCAGACAACCUAAGUUCAAAUCUAGCCUUUGCUAAUUACUGGCUGAAAUCAUUGAGAAAUCUACUUAACCUGCCUGAGACCUCAGUUUCCUUAUUUGUAAAUGGAAUAGUAGUGCCUCAAGUGAGAUAAGGAAGAAGGAUGCCUGGAGUGGGAUAAAGAAAAUAUAGAAAAGGAAGGGAGUGUCUUCACAUCCCAGCAGGGCACAUGGAGGAGGAGGAGGAGGUGCUGACUAUGGACAGCAAGAAGCAACAUCACCAUCACAAAACACCCACCCAGGGCAGGGGCCCUUUCAACAAGGAGCAUAAGAGACUGUUUCUGCCUCUGAUGGAAGCCCAGCAUUUUGUUUUUCUCCACAUAUUUUAAUCAAUAUUUACCAAGCCAUAACAAUCUGGCUUUCACUGUCACCCUAGGGUUGAGUUUCAUGAGUAACUACCUUUUCCACUGGCUGCAGAAAUAAUGACUCCAUGUAUGAUUGGCAGAAGGUCAUUCAUUUGAGCAUAGGAAAACAAGCAGUUUCAAGAAAAGAGCUGGCAUCUCUGCAUGAGUGAAUCAGUGCACAUCUAAAAUGCAGUUACUGAAAUUAUAGAAGCCUCUCCUCGGCCAAUUGGCCUCCUUUGGAAGAUAUGGCCUCACACCAUUCCAUGUGCAUGUGAAAUGUCUAGACGUGAUUAUAGAGUUUUCUUGAGAGCUGAUGCAUCCAAGGAACAUUUAAAGUAAGAAGCAAAGUAAUGAAAAACGUUUCUCAGAAAAUAAAAAUUGUUAAUAUGGUCUUACCACAUUUUCUAAUGAAAGCAUGUUGUGAAUGCUCAGGAAGAAGAAGGUACAGUAAUGGGACUAGAAAUCUGCAGCUUGGAUGGGAGCCCAGUCACCAAUUACCAAGUGCUACAAGCCUGAGGCUACUUCUCAUUGAAAGGGCCUCCCAGGCAUUGAGGGUGUCCACAGUUCAGUGAGACCUCAGAAGCCUGCACGUAGUUCAUGCUCAGUUCUUAGGAUAAUCCUGUCUCUCCACAAUUCCUUCAGGCUUGCAACACUCUCUUACCCCAAAUCAGCUCUUCCCCUACAUUUCCCCUUUCUAUCAAUGGCACUAGAAUUCUCCCAAAUUGAUCAAUGUCAACAUCUCAUUGUUUACUCACCCUUCAUGUACUCACCUCCCAUUAUAAUGUCUAGAUUACAGAUAGCCUUUAUUUUACCUCACGGCAUGUCCAGAAAGAAUCUGUCUUAACUACCUACUUACACCAAGGCAUCAGCAAUUCAUUUAUUUAUUCAUUCAUCUGUUAUUGUAUGAAGUAUUGGCUAAGAGAUCUAUAGUGAAGUGGGGAGAGAUAGUCAUUUAAAGUAACUGUCAUAUAAGAAUGAGUAAGCAUUCACACCGUUGCUUCCACCAGAACUCACACUUUCUUCCUUAUAUUUUUCCAUCUUUAAACACAAGUUAGGAGACACUACCUCCUGGAAGCCUCCCCUGAAUCCACCCUCAGCUGACUAAAAUGUCUCUCCAAUGGGCUUUUACAAGUGCAUAUCUAGUUCAUUGCACUGAAAUUUCACUGAUUAGCUAUUCAUGUGCCUGCCUGCUCCCCCCAAUUAGACUGUCCUAUUCAAAAACAGGGACUGUGUCAUAUUCAUCUCUGUAUUCCUGAUACUUAACAUAGAGCCCAGCUCAUUGUGUGCAUUGCAUAUUUUUAAAUGAACACAUGAAUGAAUGAAUGAA
rnacentral:lncRNA from 10 species